UGGGGAAUAUUGCACAAUGGGCGAAAGCCUGAUGCAGCAACGCCGCGUGAGUGAUGAAGGCCUUCGGGUUGUAAAGCUCUGUCUUCUGGGACGAUAAUGACGGUACCAGAGGAGGAAGCCACGGCUAACUACGUGCCAGCAGCCGCGGUAAUACGUAGGUGGCAAGCGUUGUCCGGAUUUACUGGGCGUAAAGGAUGCGUAGGCGGAUACUUAAGUCAGAUGUGAAAAUCCCGGGCUUAACUUGGGAACUGCAUUUGAAACUGGGUAUCUAGAGUGCGGGAGAGGACAGUGGAAUUCCUAGUGUGGCGGUGAAAUGCGUAGAGAUUAGGAAGAACACCGGUGGCGAAGGCGACUUUCUGGACCGUAACUGACGCUGAGGCAUGAAAGCGUGGGGAGCAAACA
rnacentral:rRNA from 1 species